GCCCGCACAAGCGGCGGAGCAUGCGGAUUAAUUCGAUGCAACGCGAAGAACCUUACCAAGGCUUGACAUGUGCCAGACCGGAUCAGAGAUGGUCUUUCCCUUCGGGGCUGGUUCACAGGUGGUGCAUGGUUGUCGUCAGCUCGUGUCGUGAGAUGUUGGGUUAAGUCCCGCAACGAGCGCAACCCUCGUUCCAUGUUGCCAGCACGUAGUGGUGGGGACUCAUGGGAGACUGCCGGGGUCAACUCGGAGGAAGGUGGGGAUGACGUCAAAUCAUCAUGCCCCUUAUGUCUUGGGCUUCACGCAUGCUACAAUGGCCGGUACAAUGGGUUGCGAUACUGUGAGGUGGAGCUAAUCCCUAAAAGCCGGUCUCAGUUCGGAUUGGGGUCUGCAACUCGACCCCAUGAAGUCGGAGUCGCUAGUAAUCGCAGAUCAGCAACGCUGCGGUGAAUACGUUCCCGGGCCUUGUACACACCGCCCGUCAAGUCACGAAAGUUGGUAACACCCGAAGCCGAUGGCCUAACCACCUUGUGUGGGGGGAGUCGUCGAAGGUGGGAUCUGGCGAUUGGGA
rnacentral:rRNA from 1 species